AUUGAACGCUGGCGGCAGGCCUAACACAUGCAAGUCGAGCGAGCGGCGGACGGGUGAGUAAUGGCUGGGAACCUGCCUGAUGGAGGGGGAUAACUACUGGAAACGGUAGCUAAUACCGCAUACCAUCCGAUUUGCCCAGAUGGGAGUAGCUAGUCGGUGGGGUAACGGCUCACCUAGGCGACGAUCCCUAGCUGGUCUGAGAGGAUGACCAGCCACACUGGAACUGAGACACGGGCCAGACUCCUACGGGAGGCAGCAGUGGGGAAUAUUGCACAAUGGGCGAAAGCCUGAUGCAGCCACGCCGCGUGUGUGAAGAAGGCCUUCGGGUUGUAAAGCACUUUCAGCGGGGAGGCGGUACCCGAAGAAGAAGCACCGGCUAACUCCGUGCCAGCAGCCGCGGUAAUUC
rnacentral:rRNA from 1 species